AGAUUGAACGCUGGCGGCAGGCCUAACACAUGCAAGUCGAGCGGUAGAGAGGUGCUUGCAUCUCUUGAGAGCGGCGGACGGGUGAGUAAUGCCUAGGAAUCUGCCUAGUGGUGGGGGAUAACGUUCGGAAACGGACGCUAAUACCGCAUACGUCCUACGGGAGAAAGCGGGGGACCUUCGGGCCUCGCGCCAUUAGAUGAGCCUAGGUCGGAUUAGCUAGUUGGUGAGGUAAUGGCUCACCAAGGCGACGAUCCGUAACUGGUCUGAGAGGAUGAUCAGUCACACUGGAACUGAGACACGGUCCAGACUCCUAGGGAGCAGCAGUGGGGAAUAGUU
rnacentral:rRNA from 1 species